UAACAAGAUCAUAAUUAAGUAAGGACAUUUUGUUGUGUGAUCUGCCAUUGAGUCAAGUUGAUUUAAGUAAUUAAUCAACAUCUUAUCUAAUGUAUAGGAUAAAACAAGUACUGAAAGUACAAAAUUUAAUGCCUUAUUAAAGGAAGUGUAACAAAAAGUUGUACGAGAAAGACAUUUCCAUUUAUGUUGGCAGAGUUGUCACCCUUUGUAAAAGAAUAAUGAAAUUAAGCAACUAUCUUUCUGGAUGAUAAAUUACAUAUUUUAUUUUACAUAUUUUUCUUUAGCAAUAGAGGGAAAUGAUCAACUACAGUCAAUUUGUUUCAACAUUUACCAAGUCCAGGAAAUUCCUAAUACUGAACACAGGAGACUGACACCUUGUAAACCAAAAGCAGCGCAUUGUCAGUCGGUAUAAUAUUAAUAAUAUCCUAAAUCUCAAAGCAUCAACACAGGGCCAGGGCCAGGGCUUAUGAAGAGAAUUGCCUAUAGAUGAAGAAGUUCUAAAUAAACACAUAAACUAAGACAGACACCAUCACACAAAACAACCUAUGAUUUGUGAUUUCUGUUUUAAAUUAAGGGACAAUUGCCAAUAUUUGUUAGAAAGUGUUUGUGGUGCUUAUUUUAAUUAAUACAUGUAUCCUCAUAAUCAUUGGGUUUUUUUUGUAACGGUACUUAUAUAUUCUGUAUUCUAUAUGUAUGCUUUGAGGAAAUGAGUUCAUUUAGAAGAAUGGAAUAAAUUUCAUAUCUA
rnacentral:lncRNA from 1 species